CCCAGCGACGCCGCGUGAAGGAUGAAGGCCCUCUGGGUCGUAAACUUCUUUUAAGGGGGAAGAAUAAAUGACGGUACCCCUUGAAUAAGCCACGGCUAACUACGUGC
rnacentral:rRNA from 1 species